AAUUUUGCCUUGUUUUAAUCAAAAACAUCGCCUCUUGCAUGCUUUAUAAGAGGUCUUGCCUGCCCAGUGACGCAAGUUUAACGGCCGCGGUAUUUUGACCGUGCAAAGGUAGCGUAAUCAAUCGUCUUUUAAAUGGAGACCUGUAUGAAUGGUGAAACGAAAACUCAACUGUCUCAUUCUUUUGACCAAUGAAAUUGAUUUCUCCGUGCAGAAGCGGGGGUAAAGACAUAAGACAAAAAGACCCUGUGGAGCUUUAGACUAGUCAGCUUAGGACUUAACAUAUCCUUGUAAUACCUAAGUUCUGCUUACAUCUUAGAUUGGGGCGAUCACGGAGAAAACACACCCUCCACGAAGAAAUUCAUAUGAUUUUAUAAUUAAGAGCUACCGCUCUAAAUAUUAAAACAUUUAACUUUAUGAACCGGCUUGCCGAUUAACGAACCCAGUUACCCCAGGGAUAACAGCGCAAUCCCCUUAAAGAGCACUUAUCACCAAGGGGGUUUACGACCUCGAUGUUGGAUCAGGACAUCCUAAUGGCGCAUCUACUAUUAAGGGUUCGUUUGUUCAACGAUUAAAGUCCUACGUGAUCAUGGGGGGGGCUUUGCGCCUUUUUUUUUUUAUUUUUUUUUAAAUAUAAUGAACUAUUACGAUAA
rnacentral:rRNA from 1 species